rnacentral:lncRNA from 1 species
GUCCUGUUGAAUAAAUAAUGAAUUUAACAAUUAUGAUAAAGAAACGGAUAAUAUUCAAAUUGACUAUGCAGUAACCUUUUAUCAGUUUAACACUAUAAGCAAAUACACUAUUUAUGUAGUACGGACACGUAGUAUUUUCUGGUCCAUAAGGGAUAAUGAUAGCCUUUUUAGGAUUUUCACCACUUGACUGAAAUACAUGUACUUUCAUUAUACUAAUGAGAAAUGAAUAUAAAUAUGCAUCAUGAUCGUUUACAGUUAUUGCUUUUUUUUUUAAAUCAUAAUGCUUUUUAGUCUUUCAUCGUGCAGUGAAUUAAAAAAUUCAAUAAUUUUAUAUUUUUUUACACCUGAUUCAUCCCUCAGUUUGGGAAAGUAUGUUCAGUUGAUCCUGUUUUUAUUGUCCAAUCACAUUGUUCAGAUACAUUGACUUAAGUAGGGUACACAAAACAUCAAGUUUGAACCCAUUUUCGGGAAUGCAAAUACUUCAGUGCUUCCUUUACUGGCAGCUAAAUAAUAAAUGAUCGAAAUUGUAAAUGCAAUAUGAAAACACGGCAUUAAAAUUUUUCAGUGGGUCAUAUUCGAGGAGGAGAGUACGGUUUUGUGGCUUCGGCAAUUAAAAGUAUCCGUCGUCUGCUGUGAAACAACUAUUUCGUAACGGUCAAACAACUUGUGAUGGCGUCCGUUAAACCUAAGUAAUAUUUAUAUGUAUAAAUAAUACACCAAAAAAUAAGACGGAAUCGUACAGACCGAUUACUGCAAAAAUUGCUUACAAUUGGCAUGUUAGUUUCAGAGAAGGACAUAUGAAAGAAAGUUAUAC